rnacentral:lncRNA from 1 species
CCUAGGGGUAGGGUAUAACACGUACGGAGGCAUUUUCUUUCUGAUCUGGUGCCAGUGGUAUGAGAUUCCAACCUGCUAAAUGUAAUAUGAUGACGCUUACCAGAAAGAAAAUACCAUUAAAUAUAACUACACUUUUGGUGGAAUAAGUCUUGAAUUUCUGACAUCUAUUAAAUACCUAGGAGUACACAUCACAAAUGAUUUGAACUGGAAUAAACAUAUCAACGAAAUCUGCAACAAAGCACAUAGAACCCUAGGAUUACUAAAAAGGAAUUUAUCUAUGUGUCCCCGUGAAGUUCAAGCCUACAAAGGAUUAAUUCGUCCAGUUUUGGAAUAUGCUAGUUCAGCGUGGGAUCCACAUCAGAAGUAUUUACAAGACAAGUUAGAAAACGUCCAAAAAAGAUCAGCUAGAUUCAUUUCUUCCAACUACAGUUACGAACCUGGUUCUAUGACGAAAAUUUUAAGUGAAUUGGAAAAAUACUCCGCUGGUAGAAAGAAGAAAGCAAAACAGACUAAUCCUAUUUUCAAAGGACUCAAUUCUAUGGCAAAUCUUCCACUUGAUAACCUGCAACGAUCAUCUCGUUUUACAAAGAAUAUGCAUAGUGACCAUUUCAACAGAAUUUAUGCAAGAACUAAUACAUUAAAAUUCAGCUUCAUUCCAAAUACAGUCAAUGACUGGGACUCUCUACCUCCGGAUUUAAUCAGUAAAUACAUGACAGCAACCAAUCCAGUCUCCACAUUUAUAUCAGCAGUCAGGGGGAGGUGGGUGAAUUCUAAAAUCUUAACAACUUGACGCAGGCGCGGUGAGUAAAUGUUUCAUUAUGUUUCACCGUAACCAAUCAAGAUCAAAAUCUAAUCGGAUCACAAGGUUGAUCAGGGAGAGCGAAAUGUAGGUCAAUCAACAAAUUCCAGCGGCUAUAUUUAGAUCUACUGGAGUGAUCACGUGUUUAGCCAGGGGUGUCAAAAUGGCAGACCGUACGAUAAAAAUUCAAUUGUUUGGACAUUCUUUUGUGGAACGUUUAAAGGAUUUUGUUAUGAAUCAAGAAGAUUUUCCUUCAAAUUUGAAAUUACGUGCGAGUCCUUUAGUGCAGUAUUCUGGUUUCGGAGGGGGACAUGUACAUACAUUGAAACAAAAUUUGGACGUGGUUCGAGAUUUCAAGCCAGAUUUGGUCGUUCUCAUCAUCGGCACAAAUGAUCUUUCAUCAGUAGACAAGUCCCCAAAUUCGGUUAGUGCUGCAAUUAUGGAUUUAGUGGACACUUUGUUGUUUAUUGAGCAGGUACGGUCAGUCAUCGUUUCCUCCAUAUUAUUCAGAAAGCUGAACAGUCAACAUAAUCGUCAUGCGGUGGACAUUCCUUGGUUCAACGAGUUUACGAAACAAAUGUUCUUCUUGAAUCAAAGAUUAAGGAUUGUGCCCACCAGCGAGUGCGUUACUGGGUACCCAAAGGUUUCUGGUCGGGCGAGGCUUUAGCAGAGGUUCUAAGUAGUGAUGGGGUCCAUUUCUCGUACAAAGGUCAACAAAAGCUGUACAACAACAUCCGAGCUGCGGUGGUUGCGGAGUUGAAGGCUAGCCAGCUAGGCUGUUAAGAUAUGUAUAUUUUCAUCAUUCAUGGCACCUAUAUUUAUUUCUGUACAAUUUACAGUAGAGAUUACACAUUUAAUGGCACCUACACAUAGUGGCAUACAUAACAUGAAUUAUUAUUGUAAUUUUCACAGAUAAUACCAAUUUUUGUUUAACCUUCAUGGUUAUCUAUAUGGCUAUAUUUAGUGUGCACAGCUUGAGAGUAUUUACUAUUCGGCAGUUUCCAUUUAUGGUGUUGGGGGUUGAUUUGCCUUAUUUAAGUCAUUAUACUUAAAACCCAUGAGUAUAAGUGCUUGAGAACGUAGUUACACUAUUCGGCAUGCAUAUACGCUAUAUAACGGUUUAUUACUGUUGACGUUGCGUACGUUGUUCGCGAACAUCGGAAAUUUUUCAGUUUCGUUCACUUCAAUGUUUCAUGAAAUUCGUUUUAGAAAUACGGUUGUUUAUCUUCUUAUAUCACAAGAAAGGCAAAACAAUCUCCCUCUUAGUAAAUAUGAUCGCAUUUACGUUUAACAAUUAGUAAAAAUUUAAUUCGACAUAGAAUCAUAGAAAACAACACUAAAACGUCAUGUAAGAUGUAACAGAAUUCACCAAUGCGCAUUAUUUAACGGCUUGGUAAAUUCAUAAAAUUAUUUUUUUCCGUCAAAUAAGAAGACUCGGUGACGUGACGUUAACUAUAUUUGACGUCAUUGCAGUCGUUUGCUGUUCAAUACUUCCUGUAACAAACAGGAAGCAAAAGACAGUUCCAACUGAAAACAUGAAGGCUAAACGGAAAGCAAUAGCCACCACAUCAUCGUGUCCAUGCUGUCCACCAAAGGCCAAACAAUCUAGACAGCAGACAGGGUUGGAAACAAAAACCACCAACUCCAAUGUUACUAACGGUGUUACCACACAUACAGUUAACACGCGCAGUGCACACAAAAAUGCUCAAGUUAAAUAUAAUAGGCAUAAGGAAACGCAACAUGAUUCAGUUGUUCCUCAGGUUACAAUAGAUCAGUCAAGAAAAAACAAACGAACCAAAAAGACUAAGAAAAACGGUGCUAGUACAUGUUUGCAGACAGACAAGUUCCGGGCUUUAUCCACAGCAAUGGACGACAUGCCAUCAGUAGUCCCGGAGCAUCUGUUAGAAAUUUGAACCGUUCUGUCCACAAGCUGUUGGAUGCCUCUAUAGCACCUGCAACAGCUAAUAGUUAUAAGAAUGCUUUACGGCACUAUAACCGCUUUCAAAACACAUUAUCCAACAGACAGGUUGUUGCCAAUAUCAACAACCCGAAUAUGUCAAUUUAUUGCUUAUUGUCAUGACAGGCAAUUCAAGGGUUCGUCUAUCACAUCCAUGGUCUCGGCAUUAGCCUAUGUUCACAAUAUUUGUGAUAGGAAAGAUCCUACACAAGCAUUCGU